GGGUUUCGCUGCCCGGCGGGGCGCAGGGGCGGGGGUCUCCCGGCCCGGUCCUGCCCCGCCCGCUCCCCUCUCUGCGCCGCGGCGGCCGCACUCACCCAGCAGCGCCCGGAGGUGCUUGAGGCGGGCUCGUGGGAUGCCAUGCCCAGUGGGUGAUGCUCUACGGACGUGUAAAUAGGAGUGGGAAGAACUCAUGUUCCCAUGUGUCGGAUGCAGCAAGGCAUCUUCUGGCCUCCUUAGAGAUACCAAAAGCAUCCCUUAGCAUCCCUCCCGUCACUUCAGCUUGUCAAGGAAAUCCAUCUCCUGUUGUGUUUUCCUUCCUGUCCACCAGUCAGGGCACAGCAUCACAUCUCCCCCACCCCAGGCAGGGGCUGUGGACUCCUGCUGCUUUCAGGGAGCAGAGCAAGGAUGCUCUUCUCCAUGGGCAGAGCAGCCCCAUGGCAUCAUGGUCUGGGGCUGCAUCCACCACCCUCUGUGGUCCAGGGACACUAUCCGCUACCCUCUGUGGUUCAGGGAUUCAUCCAUCACCCUCUGUGGUCCAGCGGAUGCAUCCACCAUUCUCUGUGGUCCAGGGAAUGCAUCCACCACCCUCUGUGGCUCGGGGAGGCCAUGACACCCUGGCUCAGGGGCUGGGUCUCCCUGGGUGAGAAGGUUGGAGGAACUCGAUGGGCUGAGGCUCCUCAUGCUCCAUCCUCGGGCUGUAGAUGCAGCAUCACUCACUGGCGACACUAAUCAGAAAUAAUGUGUGGCUUAAUCAAACUUCUCCAUUAAAAGGGUUUGGAAAUAAUAUAUAAAAUGAAUGG